UGGGGAAUAUUGCACAAUGGGGGAAACCCUGAUGCAGCGACGCCGCGUGAGCGAAGAAGGCCUUCGGGUCGUAAAGCUCUUUUAUGAGGGAAGAUAAUGACGGUACCUCAAGAAAAAGCCCCGGCUAACUACGUGCCAGCAGCCGCGGUAAUACGUAGGGGGCUAGCGUUGUCCGGAAUCACUGGGCGUAAAGGGUUCGCAGGCGGAAUAACAAGUCAGAUGUGAAAGUCAUGGGCUCAACCCAUGUAAGCAUUUGAAACUGUAAUUCUUGAGAAGUGGAGAGGUAAGUGGAAUUCCUAGUGUAGCGGUGAAAUGCGUAGAUAUUAGGAGGAAUACCUGUGGCGAAGGCGACUUACUGGACACAAAUCUGACGCUGAGGAACGAAAGCGUGGGUAGCAAACAGG
rnacentral:rRNA from 1 species